UUGGAAUCUCAACUUUCCAUCCU
rnacentral:snRNA from 1 species